rnacentral:rRNA from 1 species
AUUGAACGCUGGCGGCAUGCUUUACACAUGCAAGUCGAACGGCAGCACAGGGAGCUUGCUCCUGGGUGGCGAGUGGCGAACGGGUGAGUAAUGUAUCGGAACGUGCCUGGUAGUGGGGGAUAACUACUCGAAAGAGUGGCUAAUACCGCAUGAGAUCUUUGGAUGAAAGCGGGGGACAUUCGGGCCUCGUGCUACUGGAGCGGCCGAUAUCAGAUUAGGUUGUUGGUGGGGUAAAGGCCUACCAAGCCUGCGAUCUGUAGCUGGUCUGAGAGGACGACCAGCCACACUGGGACUGAGACACGGCCCAGACUCCUACGGGAGGCAGCAGUGGGGAAUUUUGGACAAUGGGCGCAAGCCUGAUCCAGCAAUGCCGCGUGCAGGACGAAGGCCUUCGGGUUGUAAACUGCUUUUGUACAGAACGAAAAGUCUCUGGCUAAUAUCUAGAGAUCAUGACGGUACUGUAAGAAUAAGCACCGGCUAACUACGUG